rnacentral:rRNA from 1 species
GGCCUACGGGGCGCAGCAGUAGGGAAUCUUCCACAAUGGACGAAAGUCUGAUGGAGCAACGCCGCGUGAGUGAAGAAGGGUUUCGGCUCGUAAAGCUCUGUUGGUAGUGGAGAAAGAUAGAGGUAGUAACUUGCCUUUAUUUGACGGGAAUUAAUUAGAAAGUCACGGCCAAAUACGUGCCCGCAGCCGCGGGAAUAAGUAGGUGGCAAGCGUUGUUCGGAUUUAUUGGGCGUAAAGCGAGUGCAGGCGGGUUCAUAA